CAUGUCCUCACUUCUUGAUCUUAAGCCACCUAGACUUGUCAUGAGGCCGUAGAAGAGGAGAUGGUGCAUACCCUGUCUUAGACAAAGGGGUUAUUUAGCAGGUCUUGUCAAGGUGGCAGGGGUGUGAGGCCAAGGCCUCCUGGGAGGGAAUAUACUCUCCAGUAUCAUCUUUACCUUUGUGACUGCAUAGAUGAAGGCAGCUAACACUGACCCCAUUCACUCUGGCUGGCUAGAUAUAGGCAGGUCAGGUCCCAAGUUCCAACGUAACAUAGGCUCCCUCUUUCACACUCUGUCAAUGGCACAAAGCCCUAUUGUUAAUACAGUUCCCUACUCAUACUCAAGAGUAAACAACACUGUCCUUCGACUACACAACUUUCUUCCUCUACACACAUCUGCUCUGACAGCUUUCCUCUGGGUGUAUCAUCACAGCAACACUGAAAGGGACUAUGGCAAGGCAGUGCUUGGGACCCAGCCUCCAGGAUUCCAGAAAGUCCUUUCCUAAGAAGUCAGCUCCCAGGCAAGGAAACUAAGGCACAGAGACGACACUCAAGAUCACACAGCUAAGAAGAGGUAGAGCCAGAAUUUGAAUACAGGCAAUCUGGUUGGGGAGUCCACACUAAACCACUACAUUCACUAUGUCUAAGCUACUAAUAAAUGAAUGUCUGCUGGAACAUUUUUAGUCACUUUAACAUGUUCAUUCAAUUUGCACUCAACCUAAAGACCUGCAGUUUCAAUACCAAAUUCCAAUUCUAAAAAAACUGCUCUGAAUUCGACUUCUAAUUUACUCUCAAAAUGCCUUUAAUCCACACUGUAAUGACAGACAUCCUUACCGAAGAAUUGAAAAGACCCGUGCCAUCUUCCCAAUGGCUCUGAUCUUAUUCCUGAUGAUCUCCUUACGAACUGUAGUGCUUCCUUAGAGAAUACAAAGAAUACAUAAGUUAAAGGAAUGUGUUAAUAAACUGCCUUUAAAAAAUUCAGGAUGAAGUGUCCUAAGCUAAAGAAACAAUUGCUUUUUAAAAAGGAAAUGAAGGUUUAAGUUUGUUUAAACAAAAAUCUCAGGAAGUUCUAAGGAGCAAGAGAAAAAAUAACCCAGAAGAUAAAAAGAUGAAGUAAAAAAUGAGAGGCCACAAAAAAGACAGACUGGGUGGAUCUAUGAGAGGCAGGAACUUAUUUGUGGUUGUGAAAUGUAGAACACAGUGAAGAACACAAAACACACACACACACACACAAACCUCACAAAGAAAGCUGCUGCAGCAAAGACCUCUUUUUAGAAUGCUGUGGGCCACCUUAGGGCACAGGGUUUGGCCUGCCAGAUGGCACGUGAUCAUUCCAGCAGCUGUCUUCCGUAUGUAAACACAACACCCAGCUAGCUUUCCUGAACUUAGUAAGGGCUGCUUUCAUUCUAUAAUCUUCACUUACAUUAGUGAGUUAUUGCCUCACAGCAUUACUGACAACUGUGCACUAUUUUAAAAAGCAACAACAGAAAAAGUUAAUGUAAGACUUACAGCUUUUUCUCAUCUAAGAUUCUGAAAAUAGCCCACACAUGAGAAGCCACGGUCCAGCAUGCACCAGGGGACUACAGUCAAAAGUCAGAAAAAGAAACAUGGCCUCUCCUUCCUCAUCUCUAACCCUCAACACCCUGCCGGAUCAUACAACAGGUCCUGAGAAAACAUAUACAUUAAAACUGAAGGGGAGGAUGGAGAACCUAUUUGAAAUUAUUCAACUACCAACUUUAAAACUCUAACCAACAGGCUGUGGUGGGACAGAGAAUAAGCAUUAAGCCCUUAGCACAGUUUAGUCGGAUACCUUUCUGAUAGCUUGGAAUGUAGCGAUCUUCAGAGAGAAGAGACACCAAGAAACAAGGAGAUGAAGACAGAAAAAUAAGAAGAGAAAUUUAAGUUUGCAUGGAAAAGAGGAAAAAAAUCAAAGUGAAAUGCAAUGAGAGAAACAGACUAUUAUCUUAUAAGGGACAUCUUUGGUAUCAUGAUACAACAUUGGACUACAGAUUCCUUUUGUCAGUAGUUUCAUUUCUUAAAAGUGUAUGGUUUUACAUUAAUUUACAUCUAUGAGCAUUCAACGUUUUCUGCUCUCACAGAUCAUGAAAAUAACAUUAGACAAAGAUUAUCAUUUGUGGAACAAAUGAUGCCAAAAACAAGAAACUAAAACAGAGGACAGAACAGCGUGCAAAGCUCUUCACAGGAACAGUAUGUUUUUUGUUUAAUGGAUUCAAUAGCUUCUC